rnacentral:rRNA from 1 species
AUGAAGAGGGAGAGGACGGAGACGGCGAUGUCGAUGUGCUUCACGGCGAGCGAUCCUGCACGCGCGGUACAGGUAGUCGAGCGACUUGCCCACGUCACCGCCGCCGCCUCUGGCUGCCUGACGGGGCUUGCUGGAGCCGGACUUGGCGGUGGCGGUGGUGUCCGGGUCGUCGGAGAGGUCGACCUUGGCGAGGGCCUCGGUGGCGGCCGCGACCGGGUCCGGGUCGUCCCUGUCAGGGCUGCUGUCCGGCUAGGAGGUGGAGGAGUCGGGGGUCUUGCCGGGGACGGGGGCCUUGCCUCUGCCGAGGCACUCGACGCAGCGCGGGGUGAGGUGCUCCUCCAACAGCUUGAUGGCCAUGACGCGGUCGAGGGCAUGGGCCUGGGAUCUGGGGCGGACCGGGAACUGCUGCGUGAGCAGCGCAUCGUGGCGUCGGCGUCGGCGUCGGCGUACGCGUCAGAGGUUGGAGGCGAGCUCGCCGAGCGUGGCGUCCGCGUCCGCAGCGGUGGCGGUGGGGGCGCCGUCGACAGAUUUAAUUCAGGCGGGGGGUGA